rnacentral:lncRNA from 1 species
UGAUCAGGGCUGUGGCCUACAUGGUGGCUCAGUGCUUGGGCGCCAUCUGCGGUGUUGGUUUGGUUAAGGCUUUCAUGAAAAACUACUACAACCGUCUCGGUGGUGGCGCCAACACUGUGGCUACCGGCUACAACACCGGCACCGCUUUGGGUGCUGAGAUAAUUGGCACCUUCGUCCUUGUCUACACCGUCUUCUCCGCCACUGACCCUAAGAGAAGUGCGCGUGACUCCCACGUCCCUGUAUGUUCUUCCUUCCUUUUCCUCUCUUCCGUUUGUUAAAUCUGUCCGUAUGCGACGCCGUAUGGUGUCGUGUAGUGUCAAAAGACGAACCAUGUUAGCUUUUAGGGCAUGGGUGUGGUUGUCUGUUUGUCGCUUAGAGAGUGUUUGAACCUUUCAGGUUUUGGCGCCACUCCCCAUUGGGUUCGCUGUGUUCAUGGUGCACUUGGCAACCAUCCCUAUAACAGGUACUGGUAUUAACCCAGCUAGGAGCUUCGGCGCUGCAGUUAUCUGGAACAACAAGAAAGGCUGGGAUGACCAUGUAAGUGUACCAUAUAUCUAAACACGUAUGUAUAUAUGAGUUUGAUGAAAAAUUCUAGGGUAGUGAUUGAUAUAUUAACUAGUAAGAUUUGGACGAAAAUGGUGCAGUGGAUUUUCUGGGUCGGACCAUUUGUGGGAGCACUUGCAGCAGCCGCAUACCACCAGUACAUACUGAGAGCAGCAGCCAUUAAAGCUUUGGGAUCUUUCCGCAGCAACCCCACCAACUAAAGUCUCUCUUCUUCAAUCUAUUUGUUCUUUUGUGUGUAUGAGUUGAUGAUGACCCAUCUUCUUCCUUUCAUCUUUCUUUCUUUAUUUAUGAUUUAAUCUUUUGUUGAUUAGUUUGGCC